rnacentral:misc_RNA from 1 species
AAGUCGUAACAAGGUUUCCGUAGGUGAACCUGCGGAAGGAUCAUUACAACGUUCCAAAUACAAACCAACCUGUGAACUAUGCUCUUUGGUUAAAGAGCGCCUCCGCUCUGCUGCCUGUUCUGUGUGACUCGUGAGUGGUGGGAGUCGUAUACCGGAACGCACUGCGUUUAUUACGAAUGCAGUGAUUGCAGAGUGUGUAACCCCACUCGUCUUAUUUCAACACUUAAACACCUUGCACCUAUUUUGAACUGACCUCUCGUCAAACGUCUGCUACUCUCUUACCAGAGUGUGCGGCCGUCUGCCGAUCGUUUAUACGAAAUACAUCGUACAACUCUUAACAACGGAUAUCUUGGCUCUC